CUCAGUCUCUCACAGUAUCACUCAGACACUCACCGUCCCAAGCUUAGAACCCUAGAUCCCCAAUUCAUCAUUCAUCAAUUCGUCCUCUUGCUUUGUUGUUCCGAUCGGAUCUAAAAGCAAGACUGCUCUGCUCUCUGAUCAGUGUCUGGCGACGAGGUGUCGUUCGAGUUGUCCUGAUCUGCGGACUAUUGCGGUGCCGGAGCGAUCUCCAUGGGUUGGGUCAUGGGUCCUAGGGGUGGCUCUCAUGAUCGAAGGUUCAUCUCCGUCUGCAUUCUGAAGUUGGAUUUGGGGGUUUGGGUCGUGGGAAGAAGGAGAUGGAUGAGUACCAUUCUGGUGUGUUAAAUUGGUAUUGAUUGAUUCGGUGCACUGAUUUAAAUUAUUGUAGCUAUUAAUCUGGUGCA